rnacentral:tRNA from 1 species
UAAAGGAUAAGUUAAAUAAACUAUAAGAUUCAUGUUCUUAAAUUGAAGAUAUUUCUCCUUUAA